rnacentral:rRNA from 1 species
AAUAAACGCUGGCGGCGUGCCUAACACAUGCAAGUCGAGCGGGAAAGCCCUUCGGGGUAAGUACAGCGGCGGACGGGUGAGCAACACGUGAGAAUCUGCCCUUUAGUGAAGAAUACUCCCGAGAAAUCGGGCAUAAUACUGCAUAAGUCCCUGCGGGAGAAAGAUGGCUUUAUGCUGUCGCUAGAGGAUGAGCUCGCGUACUAUUAGCUAGUUGGUAGGGUAAUGGCCUACCAAGGCAAUGAUGGUUAACCGGCCUGAGAGGGUGUUCGGUCACACUGGAACUGAGACACGGUCCAGACUCCUACGGGAGGCAGCAGUGAGGAAUAUUGCGCAAUGGGCGAAAGCCUGACGCAGCGACGCCGCGUGGAGGAUGAAGGUCUUUGGAUUGUAAACUUCUGUUAAGUGGGAAGAAAAAGUUGACUUCUAAUACAAGCAAAAAUAGACGGUACCACUAAAGAAAGAC